rnacentral:rRNA from 1 species
GACGAACGCUGGCGGCGUGCUUAACACAUGCAAGUCGAACGGAAAGGCCCUGCUUGCAGGGUGCUCGAGUGGCGAACGGGUGAGUAACACGUGGGUGAUCUGCCCCUUAUUUUGGGAUAAGCCUGGGAAACUGGGUCUAAUACUGGAUAGGACCAUGCUGUAGGUGGUGUGGUGGAAAGAUUAGUUUCGGUAAGGGAUGAGCUCGCGGCCUAUCAGCUUGUUGGUGGGGUAAUGGCCUACCAAGGCGUCGACGGGUAGCCGGCCUGAGAGGGUGGACGGCCACAUUGGGACUGAGAUACGGCCCAGACGCCUACGGGAGGCAGCAGUGGGGAAUAUUGCACAAUGGGCGCAAGCCGGAUGCAGCGACGCCGCGUGGGGGAUGACGGCCUUCGGGUUGUAAACUCCUUUCAGCCAUGACGAAGCCCUUGUGGUGACGGUAGUGGUAGAAGAAGCACCGGCUAACUACGUG